UACGUAGGGGGCAAGCGUUGUCCGGAUUCAUUGGGCGUAAAGAGCGUGUAGGCGGCCAGGUAGGUCGGUUGUGAAAACUGGAGGCUCAACCUUCAGACGUCGACCGAAACCAUCUGGCUAGAGUCCGGGAGAGGAGAGUGGAAUUCCUGGUGUAGCGGUGAAAUGCGUAGAUAUCUGGAGGAACACCGGUGGCGAAGGCGGCAUCCUGGACCGGUAUUGACGCUGAUGCGCGAAAGCCAGGGGAGCAAACGGG
rnacentral:rRNA from 1 species